rnacentral:rRNA from 1 species
GACGGAGGAUGCAAGCGUUAUCCGGAAUGAUUGGGCGUAAAGCGUCCGCAGGCGGCAGUUCAAGUCUGCUGUCAAAGACCGAGGCUUAACUUCGGAAAGGCAGUGGAAACUGAACAGCUAGAGUAUGGUAGGGGCAGAGGGAAUUCCUGGUGUAGCGGUGAAAUGCGUAGAGAUCAGGAAGAACAUCGGUGGCGAAGGCGCUCUGCUGGACCAUAACUGACACUCAGGGACGAAAGCUAGGGGAGCGAAUGGG